UAUAAUGUACAUGUCUAAUAAAUGCCCUAGACUAGUUGAUGUCACGGAUGCCUACCUUUGACAUUGUAGGCUAGGUCAUAUUAACAAGAACAGGAUGAACAUGUUAGCUCAAGAAAAAAUUCUUGAUGACAAUGAUUAUGAAUUAUUGCCAACCUGUGAGUCUUGUUUACUUAAAAAAAUGACCAAGUCAUCUUUUACUGGAAGAGGUG
rnacentral:lncRNA from 1 species